rnacentral:rRNA from 1 species
UACGUAGGGUGCGAGCGUUGUCCGGAUUUAUUGGGCGUAAAGAGCUCGUAGGCGGUUUGUCGCGUCGGCCGUGAAAUCUCCACGCUUAACGUGGAGCGUGCGGUCGAUACGGGCAGACUUGAGUUCGGGUAGGGGAGACUGGAAUUCCUGGUGUAGCGGUGAAAAUGCGCAGAUAUCGGGAGGAACACCCGUGGCGAAGGCGGCCAGCUGGGAUCACACC